CAGGAGACCACCUCCGCCACCUCAUCAGGAGCAUGCCCAGGCAUUGUAGGGAGGUCAUACAGGCACGUGGAGGCCACACACACUACUGAGCCUCAUUUUGACUUGUUUUAAGGACAUUACAUCAAAGUUGGAUCAGCCUAUAGUGGUUUUCCACUUUAAAUCCAGACCUCCAUGGGAUGAUAAAUUUGAUUUCCAUUGAUACUUUUUUUGUGAUUUUGUUGUCAGCACAUUCAACUAUGUAAAGAAAAAAGUAUUUAAUAAGAAUAUUUCAUUCAUUCAGAUCUAGAAUGUGUUAUUUUAGUGUUCCCUUUUAUUUUUUUGAGCAGUGUAUAUUCACAUGAGGGCAGAAUAUCAUCUUCAGGCAUCAAAAGCGUUCCUCUUUCAACUGGUCGUUGCAUGAAGCAGCUCACAGAAGAACGACAUCGGUGCCGGUAGGGAAUGAAAGACAUUUCAACUGAUGAUAUUUACCAGUAAAUGCUAACAAUUUUUUGAUUUAUGUAUUUUAUUUCACCUUUAUUUAACCAGGUAGGCCAGUUGAGAACACCUUUAUUUAACCAGGUAGGCCAGUUGAGAACACCUUUAUUUAACCAGGUAGGCCAGUUGAGAACACCUUUAUUUAACCAGGUAGGCCAGUUGAGAACACCUUUAUUUAACCAGGUAGGCUAGUUGAGAACACCUUUAUUUAACCAGGUCGGCUAGUUGAGAACACCUUUAUUUAACCAGGUAGGCUAGUUGAGAACACCUUUAUUUAACCAGGUAGGC
ensembl:lncRNA